CCGGCACGGUGAGUAACACGUAUCCAACCUGCCGUCUACUCUUGGACAGCCUUCUGAAAGGAAGAUUAAUACAAGAUGGCAUCAUGAGUCCGCAUGUUCACAUGAUUAAAGGUAUUCCGGUAGACGAUGGGGAUGCGUUCCAUUAGAUAGUAGGCGGGGUAACGGCCCACCUAGUCUUCGAUGGAUAGGGGUUCUGAGAGGAAGGUCCCCCACAUUGGAACUGGGGCACGGUCCAA
rnacentral:rRNA from 1 species